GGAGGAAGUGUGUCACUGUCAGGGUGGGUUUUUGAGACCCUCCUCCUAGCCACAUGGGAGACAGUCUGUUCCUGGCUUUCUUUGGAUAAAGAUGAGCUCUCAGCUCCUUCUGUAGCACUAUGUCUGUCUGGAUUGCUGCCAUACUUCCUGCCAUGAUGAUAAUGGACUGAAUUUCUGAACCUGUUUGAAGAAGAGUGACUGACGGUGCAGGUUGCUGCAGGAGACAGUAUAAAAGAGAGGAGUAAUUCAAAACAUCCAAUCGCCAAAGAAGACAAUGCCUGCUAUAAGUCUUUGUCAUUAUCCUCCGUGCUGAUGGCCGUGUCCCCUCAUCUACUGGAAAAGCAACGGAUGGCUGGAGAUUUUCAUCGAUCUACAUUUCGACAUUGCCUUGAAUGACUCAGCGUCAGUGCAUAUGCCCACAGAGAAGCCUUCCUCUCUGUUCUGCAUUGUCCCCAUCUUUAAAGAGAACAGAAAAGAGGAAGAAUAAGCUCGUCCUUUCCUCUCCAAAUCUAUGCAUUACCAUGUGAAUCCUGACUAUUUACAUCCUUAUUUCUGUAGAGCAGGAGGUCUAUAGCUGGGCAUGGCUGCUCACCCCUGUAACCCCAGAAAUGCAGAAUCACAAGGAUUACCCUGAGUAUGAGGCUAACCUAAGCUGCACG
rnacentral:lncRNA from 1 species